UCGAGAAUUUUUCACAAUGGGGGAAACCCUGAUGGAGCGACGCCGCGUGGAGGACGAAGGUCUUCGGAUUGUAAACUCCUGUCAUGCGGGAACAAGAAAGUGAUAGUACCGCAAGAGGAAGAGACGGCUAACUCUGUGCCAGCAGCCGCGGUAAUACAGAGGUCUCAAGCGUUGUUCGGAUUCAUUGGGCGUAAAGGGUGCGCAGGCGGCGUGGAAAGUUGAGUGUGAAAUCCCGGGGCUCAACCCCGGAACUACACUCAAUACUCCCAUGCUAGAGGAAUGUAGAGGAGAGUGGAAUUCACGGUGUAGCAGUGAAAUGCGUAGAUAUCGUGAGGAAGACCAGUUGCGAAGGCGACUCUCUGGGCAUUUCCUGACGCUCAUGCACGAAGGCCAGGGGAGCAAACG
rnacentral:rRNA from 1 species